rnacentral:rRNA from 1 species
GCUGGCGGCGCGCCUAACACAUGCAAGUCGAACGAGAAAGUCCGCAAGGAUGAGUAAAGUGGCGUACGGGUGAGUAACACGUGGAUAACCUGCCCUUUAGUGGGGAAUACCGCUGGGAAACCGGCGACAAUACCGCAUAAGCUCGAGAGAGGAAAGCAGCAAUGCGCUGAAGGAGGGGUCCGCGGCCGAUUAGCUAGUUGGCAGGGUAAAAGCCUACCAAGGCUGUGAUCGGUAGCCGGCCUGAGAGGGCACACGGCCACACUGGCACUGAAACACGGGCCAGACUCCUACGGGAGGCAGCAGUGGGGAAUCUUGCACAAUGGGGGAAACCCUGAUGCAGCGACGCCGCGUGAGCGAUGAAGCCCUUCGGGGUGUAAAGCUCUUUCGGCAGGGACGAUUAUGACGGUACCUGCAGAAGCAGCUGCGGCUAACUACGUGCCAGCAGCCGCGGUAAUACGUAGGCAGCAAGCGUUGUUCGGAGUUACUGGGCGUAAAGGGUGCGUANGCGGCUUCUUAAGUCUGGUGUGAAAUCUCCCGGCUCAACUGGGAGGGUGCGCCGGAUACUGAGGGGCUAAAGUGUGGGAGAGGAAAGUGGAAUUCCUGGUGUA